rnacentral:rRNA from 1 species
UAAGGAAUCUUCGGCAAUGGACGAAAGUCUGACCGAGCAACGCCGCGUGAGUGAAGAAGGUUUUCGGAUCGUAAAACUCUGUUGUUAGAGAAGAACAAGGGUGAGAGUAACUGUUCACCCCUUGACGGUAUCUAACCAGAAAGCCACGGCUAACUACGUGCCAA